rnacentral:lncRNA from 1 species
GUUCCUAUUUAUGGAUGUCAAAUUUUCAGAUACUUUGUUUUUGGAGAAUAUGGUGUUGAAGGCAGAUCUCGAAUAGUUCUUGGUAAGUGUAUUAUUUUUCCUGGUAUUGAAAAAAAACCAAUUUUUGUCUUUUGGUUAUUCGUGUCCUGAGGUGUGAGUCUCAUUGACAUUUAAUAAAUAUCACUUUUUAUUUAUACUUAAACGAAAUAACCGAAAUGAAGCAAGGUAUUGUUAAAGGGAAAUUCCGCGAUGUUUUACUUAUCAUCUAAUUAUGUUCAUCUUAACAUAAAAAACACAUUUGCAAAGUUUUAAAUUUAUAUUCCUUCUAAUAACGGAGAAAAUCAAGUAUUUGUAACUUUUUUGGUUAAAUUCUCGAGUGGGUCGUGACGUAUUAGCCCGAUUUAUUGAAUUCUGGGAAAAAAUAAAAUCUGUUUAACUCUUAUAGCUUAUGACAAUAUACGUAAUUAAAGCGCACAGCUGACGAAUGUCGAAGUUAUUAACCACAAUAUAGAAUGAACGAAAAUGAAUAUGCAUAUACCGUUUUGUAUUGAUUGAAUUAAAUCCUAUAAAAUUAUCUCUAUUAAAAUGUUUUGAAUAAAUUUAAAUAAUUAUUGUUGAGAUUUUUUUCAUAAAAUAUCUAUUGAACAUUUUUACUGAUAUUGAACUGAAAAUAUUUCAGUUCUAUUUACCGUUAUUGUUUUGAUAAUCAUUUCAAUGCAACUAAUGGUGAGCAGAGUGUGUAUAUUAUUUUGUAAAGGUCACUUAUAUUUCUCGGUUGAGUCAAUUCGUUUACCUUGUACUAUUAGCCGCAGGUGUGAGUUCAAGCGUACACAGGUAUAAAUGUUGUAUUUGGAAAGGAUAAACAGAAAGGAUUAGAAAGAGUAUGCUGUCACGGGUUAAUACACUAAGAUUUAAUACACGAUGAGAAUAAAAGAUACAAAAUUAAAUUGUGUAAAUUAAUUGAAAAUAAAAUUCAGAUUCGUAAUUCCGAAAGUGUAUAAAAAUAAAAGGAAACAAUUUUGAUUUCUUAGCGCAAUUGGCGUAAAGAUUCAAAUAUGAAGCAAAAAAAAUAGUUUUAAUCUUUUAUAAAAACUAAAUGCAAUAUACCCAAUUGAUAUACCAUUGUACAUCUGUUUGAUAUCAUUGACUUUACCGGAAUUUUAACUUGUAUUCAAAUCUGGCUGUGUUUAAAUGCUAAUAAAACUAUUGCAAUUUUAAAGUUUUUAAUUGACAAAAAAUACAACAUACAACAUGCAUGAUUUUUUUUUAGUUUCUUUUAACAUUUUAUUCUUACAUAAUUAAAUUCAUUUGACAAUCAUUUACACGAACUUUUUGUGAAAAGAAUAUCAAUUAUCUAAGCUAAGGCAUUAUUUCUUUUGAGGAUUUUUGAGGAUUUUUUUUAAAAUUCUAUGAUAAUAUUUGUGCAAUGUUGAACAUGAUAGCCGUCAUUAAUCCAAAUAAGUAAUACAGUAGUUGUAAUAAAAGUUAUAUUUUAGUCAUGCAUUACUGAUAUUGACGAAUUUAUAAUAGUUCGUCCAUACAUCGUUGUUCUUGAAACAAUCAUUAUUAGUAUACAUGUAAGUUUCCUGACGUAUAAGAGCCAUUGAGGAUGAGCUCCAAGAGAAAUCAGACUAGUGGCGUUUCGUUCGUUUGUUUGUUGGAAAGGAGAGAAAUGCAACCGCUUGUACAGAAUAACGACAGAAUUACCAUACAAGCAUUCAUAGUUCAACACAAUCAGAAAGAGUUCCCAUCGUUAGACGGGGAAUAUGAAGGCUUCCAAGAAUGAACAAGUGACAUGUCUAACUCUGAACAGUUAGAAAACAGACUAUCGACAUCGACCGCUUGUUCUUAAUAUUUUAAAACUGUAUGCAUAUAUAUACGUAUACGUUUAUGAUAUAUAUAUAGUGAUGAGUUCUUGCGUCUGACAAAAACUAAAUUCCUUCAUGGUUAUAUCUGCCAUACGUUUCUAUUGGUUUGUAAGGUGAUUACUCACAAUCGUUAUUUGAAAAUCCUGUUUGUGAGAUGUAGAUUCAUUUCAAUACAGAAAUUUGUCUAUAUAUUUCACAAGUGUAUAACACGGAAAAGCUCUGAAGGUCCAUUACUCCAUUUUGUUUGGGUGUGAACCAUCGAUGUUUACAGCAAUAUCACAGAAUAAGAUGAUGAUGGUAGAAAGAACUAUGGGCGUCAUGUGGCAAAUAUUACAAGCAUAUCGGACAAUGAGUUGUCAAUCUGUAUGAAAAGAUUUCCAAUACAACCAUAUUAUUGAGAAGGAAUGUUACAUGCUAUACUCUCGUACUAGUAUUACAGUCUGGUAUACAAUAGUCUAUCGACAUUCGAUGAUUACAUACUGUUGGCAUACGUGGACUAGUCUAUUUACAACACUUUUACCCCUAUUUAUUCAAAAUAUAUGUUUUUUCUUAUGUUCAAUGUAUACUGUAUAUAUUUUAAAUUGCGCUAUAGUUCGUAACUUUCUAUCCAGUCGUAUAAACGAAUCGUCGGCAAGUGCGUACAUUUUUUUAAUCAAUAUUUCUGGUCUGUUCCAAUCUGUCCUUCACUAUUGACAAUGACUAUAUAUUACAUUUUCCCAAAUUCACCCUUGGAAAAAAUAUUUAAAUAGAUUUUAAUUUCAUCAAAUCUUAUUUUUUGGGUAUUAUUUAUGUUUAUAAAUUAUAUUCUUUACACCAGAAAUGUUAUUUAUAAACAGCGUAUGAGUUUAGUAAUACAAGUAAGACAGAGUUGUAUAUUAUUCAUCUGAUAGUUCAAAAUGGAAAGUUAUAAGUUAUAAGUUAUCAGCCGUGUACACUGAUCAAUACCUGCAGAAGUGAAACGAUGCAUGAACUUGCAAGCCCGACAGGAAAUCGCUUGAAUACCUGGACGUGUCACCUCACACCCCUCACAAUACUUUGGAAGUAACCUUUAGCCAUGCUGGUGAUCAGAUGAGGAAGAUCAAAAUAUAUUUGUUAUUACUUUAAAGAAUUAUGAACAAAUUAGAUUUUCGAAAACAAUUUUCACGGAACACUUAUUUAUGAUUUCAACUUUGACUUUUCACCUAAUUCCAAUAUCAACAGUUUAAAAACAACAGACCAUGGUAAAUUUAAAAAAAGUAAGAUAUUUUUCGUAUCAAGUUAGUUAGUCGGAUAAAACAACCGUACGAUUGACAAGAUAUCGACACGCAAUUACGACUACAUCGGUUACUGUAGUUUUGUUUCUUUGUGGUUUAUAGACAUAUCGUUUUUAUUACUCGGGAAAGAAGACAAAAUGGCGGAUCGCAGAAAAUUGAUACUCUAAAUUUAAAAUCGAUGGUGAUCGCUUAUCUAGCGGAAUAAAACUUUAAUAUCUAUGAAUUUGAGCAUUUUUAUACAGAAUGAACAUAAUAUCAAUUUUUGAUUUUUUUGUGAAGUUUCCCUUUAAGGCAAUUAGAACCGACUACCAAUGGUUGAUUUCAAUGUAGAAAUAUUGUCAAUUGAACUUCUUUUGUCCAUCAGUAAAACCACUGCUGUUUUUUUACAUUGUUGUCAAAACAGUUGGAAUAGAAUGUAAUGCACAUACAAUCCAUUAAACAUUUAUUUUGUAGGAUCAUGGCCAGCAAUUUGAAUAUUUGUGGUGCUUGUAAUCAGCAGCAGAUAACCGUACAAUCAGUAGUUUGGUGUUCCGAAUGUAAAGAAGGUCUUUGUGAAAAAUGUAAAGAACAUCACAGUGUUUCACAAGGGACAAGACACCAUGCAACACUUUCCAUAGAUGAAUACCAGAAACUAACGACUGGAGUCUGCAAGAAACAUAAAAGGCUAUACGAGCUUUUCUGUAGAAAUCAUGACUGUCUUUGCUGUAAGUAUUGUGUAAAAUCUCAUAAAGAUUGCAAAGAUUUAAUUGAAAUCAAUGAAGUCAUACAAAACGUAAAAAUAUCAAAUGCCUUUUAUGAAAUCGAACAAACCUUGCUGGAAAUUACCGAUAAUAUUAAACAAAUCACCGCUAACCGGGAAGAAAAUUUAACAUCGCUAGCAAACCAGAAAAACGAAAUUGAAGCAGAAAUAAAACAAACAAGGUCGACGAUAAAUAAUUAUCUUUAUAAAAUUCAGGAUGAUUUGAUGAACGAACUUAUGGUUAUGGAACAAAAAGAAAGCAUCGAAAUUCGAGAGUUGUUGACAACUCUAAAAUUGAAGGAAAAAGAGAUUGGAAAGUACCAAGCACUAUUUGCUAAUAUAAAACAAUAUGCUUCGGAUCUGCAGGCAUUUACGUCAAUGAAGCAUAUUGAAAACGACAUAGCAAUCGCAGAACAAUUCAUUCAAUCGCUCGCAAAAAGCGACACCACGAAUCAAGUCAAUAUUUCAUGGCAAAUAAACAAGUCUUUACAGGAAAUCACAGCCAGUGUGCAGAAGUUUGGGGUUAUCAAUGUCAUUUAUGAUUUAUGUGAUUUCACCAUUCUGAAACGGAAGGACAAACAAGCCCAGAUUAUGGUAGCUCUUCCAACCAGAAAUAUCAAUAACCUGACUCUGACAUUACAGAAACGUAUUGAUACAGAUCUGUCAAAUGUGAGAGGUUGUUCUAUACUCCCUGAUGGUAGAAUGGUAUUUUCCUCAUUUUCCGAAAAGAAAAUAAGCGUAAUGAAAUCGGAUGGAUCAACAGAUUUUGAAAUAAGUAAUAUCUGUGGUUCGUUUGAUGUGGUAUUUAUCGGUAAUAAAUGUAUUGCUGUAACGUCUAGUAGCUAUUCAAAUGAGAUUAAUAUAAUUAACAUAAAGAAAAACAAACUGAGAAAAACAAUAAAAGUACAUUCAAACAAUGAUGGAGUAGCAUACAAUGAUGGCCAUUUGAUUUACUGUGCCAGGGAGAAAAGGUUACAGAUGAUUAGUCUUAGUGAUGAAUCUAUUACCAAUGUUAUCAAUCACGAACUUUCGGGCUUAUCGUACGUUACAACAUUCGGGGACAAACUGUUCUAUACAAACUAUAACGAGGAUAGUGUAACCUGCUGUGAUUUCCAUGGUAAGAUAAUGUGGAAGUUCAGUGAUGUUAGUGUUCUGGACACUCCAUACGGCAUUUCCGUAGACAAUGAGGGAAACAUGUUUGUAGUUGGGUAUCAUACACACAACGUAGUUGUAAUUUGUUCAGAUGGAAAACAACAUAGACAACUUUUAUCAAGUAAUGAUGGAUUGAAAUACCCCCGGACUCUGCACUAUGACCAACCUACCAACACAUUUUUAGUUGCAAAUGAAUUCAAUGAUGCUUUCCUGUAUGAAGCUAAAUAAAAAUAAAAUUUUAAGCAAAACAA